GUUCAGUGGCUACUGUUAAUAGCCUUAUCAAGUGCACUGUCGAAAGGAUAAAGGGUGCUGUGCUGUGCGAAGGUCCUUGACCUAAAGGUCUGCUUCCCGUUUAGACUUGAAAUGAAGAACGAAUUGGCAAGGAGGCCUUGUUUACUGUAGGAUGUGAGAGAAAAGGAAAGAAGUCAAGAACGCACCUUAAUUAAUCCUUGCCGUUUAUUGUUCUUGGAUGAAGGAUCUUGAGUUUCACCACUCAGCAAGGUUAAUAUAGGUUCGGGUAUUGACUUUGUCCAACAAUGAUCAAGUAAACAAAGACCUUAGUUUUGCAUCAAGUUUAGGGUUUCUUUCUUUUAGUAGUUAUUGUGUCUUUUGGAAGAGGAUUAGUUAGCAGACUGUGGAACCUCUAUUUGUCUCUAUCCAGUCGUUUCCUUUAGAAGUGUAAUAUUUUUCCAGUAAUAUUUUGCUCAUUUUCUUCAUGUGAUAUUUAUUGGACUAAAAAAAUUUCCUUCCGA